CGGGAAACUGGGGAUAAUACCCUAUAGACUAUGGAUGCUGGAAUGCUUCGUAGUUGAAAGGUCCGCCGCUGUAGGAUGGGUCUGCGGCCGAUUAGGUUGUUGUUGGGGUAACGGCCCAACAAGCCUGUAAUCGGUACGGGUUGUGGGAGCAAGAGCCCGGAGAUGGAUUCUGAGAAACGAAUCCAGGCCCAACGGGGCCAGGCAGGCGGAAAAACUUACCAAGCGGGGAAACCGGAUAAGGGAACCCUGAGUGCCCGUAAAAUCGGGCUGUCCAUCAGUUUAAAUAACUGGUGAAGAAAGGGCCGGGCAAGACCGGUGCCAGCCGCCGCGUAACA
rnacentral:rRNA from 1 species